rnacentral:rRNA from 1 species
CGCCUCCUGCAGCAUAAAGUAUAGGAGGUCCAGCCUGCCCAGUGACUACGGGUUCAACGGCCGCGGUAUAUUGACCGUGCAAAGGUAGCGCAAUCACUUGUCUUUUAAAUAGAGACCUGUAUGAAUGGCUAGACGAGGGCUUAACUGUCUCCCCCCUCCAGUCAGUGAAAUUGAUCUAUCCGUGCAGAAGCGGGUAUAGUACUACAAGACGAGAAGACCCUUUGGAGCUUAAGGUACAGAAUUCAGCCACGUUAAGCAACUCCGUAAACAGCAAGAACUUAGUGGUCAUGAAAUUUUACCUUCGGUUGGGGCGACCGCGGAGGAAAAGCAAGCCUCCGAGUGGACUGGGCCGAGACCCUAAAGCCAAGAGAAACAUCUUCAAGCCGCAGAACAUCUGACCAAUAAUGAUCCGGCUAAAAAGCCGAUCAACGGACCAAGUUACCCUAGGGAUAACAGCGCAAUCCUCUCCCAGAGCCCAUAUCGACGAGGGGGUUUACGACCUCGAUGUUGGAUCAGGACAUCCUGGUGGUGCAGCCGCUAUUAAGGGUUCGUUUGUUCAACGAUUAAAGUCCU